rnacentral:lncRNA from 1 species
GCAGGUAGGUGCUGAAGAGUUUCCCAUAGAGUGGGUCAUGGAGGGAGAAGUUCUGGAACUGACCUGGACAAAUAAGAGAUGGGGAAAAGUGAAAAGAUCUAAGAACGAGAAGAGAAUCUCCCUGCUUUUUUCUCAGAACUAAAACACCUUGUGCCUCUACUCUGUUUAACUUCUCAAAUCCAGGUUCAGGUCCUCUCUUCCUUUCUAGCCUGUUCCUCCCAGCCUUACUUCUCAUAGGUUCUGAUCUCCAGCACUGGC